rfam:Fukomys damarensis contig114186, whole genome shotgun sequence.
AGUUUUGCCUGGUGGCAGAAUCGUACUCAUUUAGGUUUAUCUGAGGUGUGAUUAUUGCUAAUUGAAAAUCUUCCCAAUAACCUUCUGUGACAACUUGAAAUUUCGUCAGCAUUGAAUUUUUUUAAUUAAAAAAA